rnacentral:lncRNA from 1 species
GUUUGCUUGUGAAUCACUUUUUGGCCUCUGAAUUUGCAGUCUCAGUGAUCAGUUUUCUCUUGUCCAUUUGCAGGGAAGCAGUGAGUUGCCAGUACUGCAAAGGUAAACUUCUCUUUGUGGAAGAGUUUCUGGUUUAUGUGUUUCUUCAAUUAUCCCUAUAUUGCAAAGACAAAUCAAUUGUUGCAUUUGCCAAUCUGUCUUCAUCAUUGUUUAAUUCAGCAUGCAUGAGAAAGGAAUUCAAAGUAUUUUGAUUGUUUAAACAUGGUUCAAAUUUCUUUUAUUAGUCUACCAUCUUACUGUUUCAUCUUUUUCUUUUCAUGCUUAGUUGGUGCAAUCACAACAAAUGUUGAAAUUUUAUUUUACUUGGACCAAUUUAAACCCAUAUAUUUCUGUUUGCAAACCUGACUUUUCAAAAUUGUUAGGCAAAACUAGUUGUGUUAAAUUAAAUCAACAUAUUGAUUUGGAGUUGUGUAAUGAAAUUUCUGGACUUUCUUCAUUAUCAGAUACCAAAUAACUUUCUCCUUCUAUGUUGCCUGCAGUGUUUCUGUAGGAGUUGAUGUACAUAACUGUAAUCAUCCAAUACUUACACGAUUGAGUUGUUUAGUGUUGGCAUUCUUUUUUUUUUUUAUUUUUUAACUCGGGCACACUUGUUAAUCACAUUAAACUUGAGACCUUUAUGCUUUGCCAUGAAAUAGAGAUUAUCACAACUGUUCAUUUUCUUUAGACCACUGAAUGAUGAUUUUUUUGACGUUUUAUGCUUUGCCAUGAAUUAGAGAUUAUAUCAACUGUUCAUUUUCUUUAGACCCUGAAUGAUGAUUAGUUUGGACAGUCUUAUUGGUUUAUCAAGGCUCACUGGAAUUAUUGCUUUAUGUUCAUUUUGGAACUGAAAUUUUUCCUACCUGCAUGCAGGAAUAGUUAUAGAAUAUUGUUAAUAAAUAUAACUCUACUGUCAAUUGUAUUAAGCGUGUAUCAUUUUCUAAAAUAUUUUCCCUUAAAUAUUGAACUGUUCUUCUAGUAGUUUUCUUUUUUACGUUAGCGAUGAUCUGGAUUCGGGGGUUGGCUUGGCUUUGCUAUUGAAGGUCUGGUGGUGCUUGAUUGUGCCUUAAAAAAGUUUGUUAGUGAUUUUUAAUGUGGGUCUGAAAUUGAUGGUAGUUGAUGCUUGUGCCAACAGAAAGGUGCCAGUAGCAGUUGGGUGGUGCUGGCAGUGAUGUCAGGAAACAGUAAAAUAAGGAGAUAUAUUGGGGUUACAAAUAUAAAUUUGUAUCUUUGUGGAUUGAACUAGUUUUAAAUUUGAAAUAGUGGAUAUACUACAUGCUUGAUUCACGUGACUUCCCAUGAUUUAUGAAUUACUUCUAAAAAACACUUAAAAUAUCAACUUAUUUAUAUUUUUAUGGAUUUUCAGGCUUUUUCCAUAAAAGACAUGCAAGGAAGUCUGCUGGGUCCAUCGUCGCUCAGUGUACAUAUACAUGCCAUAAAUGUCUCGAUGGGAAGUCCAUGGAAAUGGAUACUAAGACGGGGAAGUCCAAGCCACCAAAAAGUAAGAAAGCAUCAAAAUUAUUGAAGCCGUUGGGCUUCAGAAAAGGGAAAAAGUUGGGCAAAGACAGGCAACGAGUGCAAUCCCAAAAGAAUAAAAUGGUUCAACUUCUUGUACCCCUGCGCCGUUCUGCCAGGCAUGCUAAACCUGUCGUAAAGACGUCCGUGCUGGAUACAAAGAUCAAAAGACGGAAGAAAGGGAAACAAGCUAAAUCAAAAAAAGACAAACCGAAGAAGCCAGACAAACUGAAGAAACCAAAAAAUAGUAGUUGGCAGAAGAAGAGAACGCUGGUCAAUUAUAGUUACUGGUUGAAUGGUCUUCGGUUGUCAAGAAGGUUAAAUGAUGAAAGGGUGAUGCAUUUUAGAAGUAAUUUGCUUGUCCUUAAUGGGGAGUCGACUUCCAUUGCAUGUAUGCCGAAAUGCAGCCUCUGUGGUGAAUUAGAAUUCAAAUCUGAGCUGAAUUAUGUUUCUUGUGAGAUAUGUGGAGGUAACAAGCUUUACACGUGAUUUAUCUUACUUGCACUAAAUAAACACACGUAUGCUGUGAAAGAUUAUUAUCUCUAUCUUGAAUUAACUGCUGGCUGAGAAAAAUCGUUUUAGAGUUAUUGCCUGUAUAAGAAUAACUCUUAAUAUUCAUGAUAGAUGACAGUUACAAUUUUAUAUAGUUACGUAUGCAUGACUGACGUUUGGCACAACCAGCUCAGGGAAGGCACCCAAAUUUGUCGAUAUAAUUAGUUUACUAUUAAAUUACAAAUUUUCACAAUUUGCAGAUUGGUUUCAUGGAGAUGCUUUUAAUCUCAAAGCUGAAAAAGUUGAAAAGCUCAUUGGAUUUAAGUGCCAUAAGUGUCUUUAUAAGAACCCUCCAGUUUGCCCCCAUGUUUGCUACUGAAAGCAGCCAAGCUGUGCUUUUUCCAGAAAUUAAUGUCGGGUGUGAAUGCACUGGGAAAGAAUCUACUGGUCUAUCCUUCUUGGAGAAAACAUUUACUGAUUAGAAAUUUCUGCCAAAUGAAGAAUCUAAUGAGGCGUUCUUGAUUGAUGAUGAUCAUGAGAAGCAAUCAUCCAAUUCCUGAUUCUAACCAGAUACAGGCAAGUGAUGCAAAAGCAGGACUUUAAAUACUAUUUCAGAGUAGAAAACAGCAGUUGUUAACUUCAGCGAGGAAGGAAGACCUCUUGAUGAAUUGGUACCAACAGGAGAAGACCUUGCUGGAAGCUGACCAGGGGAAGAAGCCAUGUUUACAUUGUUGAUGCAUGACCAUUUGAAGAAUGGUUUGAUAAACUACCCUUCUGUAAUCUGUAGUCAGUAGAACUCUUCCCGACUAAUCCUAGUUGUCCCCAAAAACAAUUUUUGUGGGAGAGAAAAUAGAUUAGAGUUCGUAGUUCAUACUUACCUUUAUACAAGAGAUUGUGCUAUACUCUAGGCGCUUAAACGUUUUCGUGAAUCUAGCUGAAACGAAAUGAUUCAUUUCAAUUUAGAGCAACCGAAAAAGCGAAGAAUUAAUUUGUUGCUCCUAUUCUUCUUCGAAUAUCCUCAUGUUUUUGGUGAGUCAUUAUUGCCAUAUUUGGUGCUGAAGAUAAUUCUUUAAAUGAAUACAUAUAGCCUCUCUUUAAAUGCUUAGCUUUUAAUCGAGAUACUUCAACAUAACAUCGUAACUAAGCAAAAGACAUGAGUUCGAGUCUCAUUGCCAACUUUUAAAGGAAAAUUGUGAAUGAUUUAGACAUUGGAUAAAAAAAUGAAUCUGAUCUGCAAGUUAGAUCCAUGCUGAAGACGAGAUUUAAAAGAACAUGUGUGGCUUCUCUUUUAUAGCUUAAGCUUUUAUACAUAAUGGUUCAACAUCUGGCAAUAUUUGUGUUUUUGGAAACUAGCUGCUGGUACAUUUUGCAUCUGAUACUUGGCACAUGGUUUGUUGACAAGUUAUUGACAAAAUAUGGAGUAUCCAGGAUUAAUUUCAUUGUUCUUUGAAUCAUUUCAGGUGGCAAUUUUCUUUUUCUGUAUUCUUGUAUCGUGUUGAUUAAAAUCUAUGUUUUUUGAAUUAUUUGACUCUGUUCUAUAGACCAGAAGCUUGGAAGGUAUUGCUUUUAGUAGUUCUCUACUAUUGUUAUGAGGAUGUACCUGAGUCCUUUACUAAUUUAACAGUGUUACUGAUGGAGAUUCUAAUGGAUAUUUGGAAAGACUUGCCAUAAUUAGACUUGAUUUUAGGCAAAAGAAUAAGACCUAUAUUUUGAUUGAUUUUCGAAUAUUUUGUUUCGUUUCCCUUCCAUAAUCAUUAGGUUAAAUUAGGAAUUUCCCUUCUUCAUUAGGAGUUUUAAGCUUAAAAACUGGGGAUUUUGUAUUAGACAUACUAUUGCUUAUUGAAAUAUUGAAUACAUUGAAAUCUGCUUUUUCCCUCUUUCUCUCUGUGUGCUUCUCUCUCCUUUCUUCAUAUCUAUAUUCUAUGUAUACCUACUAUGCUGCAUUGGUUACUCUUUUUCUGUAACUUGAUCUGUCUUUGGUAUACCAAAUUCUUCAUGAUCAUAGUUAUAGAAAAUCACCUGUUAUAUUCAUUUUCAAAUUUUUUGAAGUGUGGACGAAUGUAGUAGUUAGUCUUUUUUUUUUUUAUGGCAUACCAAAUUCUCUAUUGAUCUGAAUUUAUUAAUUUUUUCCAAUAAAUGAAAAUUUUUGAUGACCAUGUGCUAACUUGUUUCACAUACAACAAUGUGGCACUCUAAAUUGAUUAAGUAUGAUAUCAAAUGUCGUCUUCGUAAAAUGGAAGUUCUUGUACUCUGAUACACAACAAUGGGGCAUUUUAAAUUGAUGAAGUAUGAUAUCAAAUGUCAUCUUCUUAGAAUGGAGAAGUUCUUGUACUCUAAACUCUGCUUUAAUAGGAUUUUUUCUUUAAGAAGAAGAAGAAAAUGCGCAAAAAAUAUGAGAUAUAUUUGUUUGAAUGACAUCUCAAUGAAUAUUAUGUUGUGUGACUGACAUUUUCUGUUUGCUUCCUUACUUUGAUUUUGUAGUCAUACACUCAGCAAAUUGUAACAGGGGUGCUAUAAACUUUUUGUGCCUUGCACGUGAACUGGAGGCUGUACUAUGGAUGUGGAGUUGGGGACGAAGUUAACAUGAACUCACUUGGGAAGUGCUUAAAUGUAAGUUCUAGUUACUUUUAGUUAGUUAUGUUGAGGGAUAAAAUCCUUAAACCCUAAAAAUUUCACAUCGAAUAAGGAUGAAAACAUAAACCAAUAAAUGCUUGGGUUACUUCUCUUAAUAAGGUUGAUCUUUUAAGAUGGAACCCUAAGUUUUAAUGAGUUAUUUAGUGCAUGUUUGGCAAAGUUUAAAAUUUGAAUUGGUCAAACAUAUUUUUAUCCACAUAUUUCAUGGGACCCACAACUUAUUACCACCUAUUAUCACACACAUUCCGUGGGUUACAAGCACUUAAAAGUACUACCAAGCAAGCACAACCUAACAUGAUUUUCAUAAUUGCUUCUUUUACUAACAAAAUUUACUAUUCUGAAAAGUGGGCUUUAACUUACCUUCCGGAAAAAGUAACUUUUAAGCAACAAGAAGCGUGCUCAAGUCAAAUUUUGCUAUUUGAUUCUUAGCUUCUAAUUUGCCUUUCCAGAAAUAUUACCACAUUAUUUUGAGUUUCUUCUCUGAUGUGAAUUCCAUCAAUUUCAGUAAACAGUCCUGGUAUGCUGUUGCAAAUUACAGGGUACUAAUAAAAAUCGAACAAGGAAAUCGACGAGACUGGAGCACAAUCUAGAGAUUAGCAAUUAAAGCUCAAGUAUCAUCUACUAUUGCUUUCUGCUAAAAGGUUUGUAUUUUCUUCCCUAGUUAUUGUUUUCAUUAUCAUUUUCAAAUAUUUAUGAUGAAACCAUGAUGCUAUGAAUGUAACUUGAUUUGCAUGUCCUGAAUUUUCUCGAAGUGACGUAGAAGAGGUUUUGUAAAGGUGUGUUAUUGGAUAAUGUUUGAUAAUUGGAAAUAAGGGUUGAAGUGUCUGUCUGGAAUCAUUCCUAGUUAUGGACAGUGGUCUCGUUAAUUGUGUUUUAUGCUUUUGUUUAGAAGGCAAGAAUCAUAUAUUUUUCCUUGUACAUGCCUGGAUAUUGAGAAGGCUGUAUUUGCAAGUUUUUUCAUGUUAGUUUUGGUGGGGUUUAGAAUUACUUAAAAACUGUUGGGAAAGUAAGGAAGGACAAGGUGAAAAAUGAGACGUAAAUUACACGAGCACUUAAAUUUCUUGUUAUAAAGUAAAGAACUAUGGAACAUUUAGGGAUUGCUUCAUUCGACUCAACUCUGCAGAAACCAAAUAAAAAAGCUACGAACUUUGGGAUACAAAUUUCAAACUUCUCAUUUAUGUUCCUUCUUUUGGUUCUAGACAUCUUUCAUAUUAUUAAGUCAGUCGUGAUCACUGAACACGGAUGCUGUUAUUUCUAUAAACUGACUUAUUUUAUCUUUCGUUUAAACUCAGGUAUGGAUUCAACAUCUCUUUGCAUAUCUACUUGACUCGAGAAAACGUUCUUUGUUGUGUUAUAUUCUGUUAGGAGGAAAAAUAUUGUUCAAUGUACCAUAGAAAGGAUCAUACUGUGGAUAUGAUUUUCCUGGCUCAUGAUUUCAACGAAAGCUCUUAGAUUUGUGGGUUUGUACGCAUUGUGUUGUAUUUUUGCUUUUGGAUAUAAAUGAAACGUUUAUUUUGGAUUUCUAAAAGUAGAGUGAUCGACUGGAGUACAAUGGUUGAGGCAAGAC